UACGUAGGGUGCAAGCGUUGUCCGGAAUUAUUGGGCGUAAAGAGCUCGUAGGCGGUUUGUUGCGUCGGCUGUGAAAUCCCGAGGCUCAACCUCGGGUCUGCAGUCGAUACGAGCAAACUAGAGUGUUGCAGGGGAGACUGGAAUUCCUGGCGUAGCGGUGAAAUGCGCAGAUAUCAGGAGGAACACCGGUGGCGAAGGCGGGUCUCUGGUCCAAAACUGACGCUGAGGGGCGAAAGCGUGGGGAGCGAACGGG
rnacentral:rRNA from 1 species